AUUGAACGCUGGCGGCAGGCCUAAAACAUGCAAGUCGAGCGGAGCGGCGGACGAGUGAGUAAUGCCUAGGAAUAUGCCUGGUAGUGGGGGAUAAAGUCCGGUAACGGGCGCUAAUACCGCAUACUAUAGAAUGAGCCUAGGUCGGAUUAGCGAGUUGGUGGGGUAAAGGCCUACCAAGGCGACGAUCCGUAACUGGUCUGAGAGGAUGAUCAGUCACACUGGAACUGAGACACGGUCCAGACUCCUACGGGAGGCAGCAGUGGGGAAUAUUGGACAAUGGGCGAAAGCCUGAUCCAGCCAUGCCGCGUGUGUGAAGAAGGUCUUCGGAUUGUAAAGCACUUUAAGUUGGGAGGCGUUACCAACAGAAUAAGCACCGGCUAACUUCGUGCCAGCAGCCGCGGUAAUUC
rnacentral:rRNA from 1 species